rnacentral:rRNA from 1 species
CUUGCUCCUUGGGUGACGAGUGGCGGACGGGUGAGUAAUGUCUGGGAAACUGCCCGAUGGAGGGGGAUAACUACUGGAAACGGUAGCUAAUACCGCAUAACGUCGCAAGACCAAAGAGGGGGACCUUCGGGCCUCUUGCCAUCGGAUGUGCCCAGAUGGGAUUAGCUAGUAGGUGGGGUAACGGCUCACCUAGGCGACGAUCCCUAGCUGGUCUGAGAGGAUGACCAGCCACACUGGAACUGAGACACGGUCCAGACUCCUACGGGAGGCAGCAGUGGGGAAUAUUGCACAAUGGGCGCAAGCCUGAUGCAGCCAUGCCGCGUGUAUGAAGAAGGCCUUCGGGUUGUAAAGUACUUUCAGCGAGGAGGAAGGUGUUGAGGUUAAUAACCGCAGCGAUUGACGUUACUCGCAGAAGAAGCACCGGCUAACUCCGUGCCAGCAGCCGCGGUAAUACGGAGGGUGCAAGCGUUAAUCGGAAUUACUGGGCGUAAAGCGCACGCAGGCGGUCUGUCAAGUCGGAUGUGAAAUCCCCGGGCUCAACCUGGGAACUGCAUCCGAAACUGGCAGGCUAGAGUCUUGUAGAGGGGGGUAGAAUUCCAGGUGUAGCGGUGAAAUGCGUAGAGAUCUGGA